UACUCAGCCAUAAAAAACAAGAUCUUGCGAUGUGUGACAACAUGGACGGACCUAGAGGGUAUUAUGCUAAGUGAACUUAUUUCAGGGAAAGACAAAUACUG